rnacentral:rRNA from 1 species
UACGAAGGGGCUAGCGUUGCUCGGAAUCACUGGGCGUAAAGCGCACGUAGGCGGCUUUUAAGUCAGAGGUGAAAUCCUGGAGCUCAACUCCAGAACUGCCUUUGAUACUGAGAGGCUUGAGUCCGGGAGAGGUGAGUGGAACUGCGAGUGUAGAGGUGAAAUUCGUAGAUAUUCGCAAGAACACCAGUGGCGAAGGCGGCUCACUGGCCCGGUACUGACGCUGAGGUGCGAAAGCGUGGGGAGCAAACAGGAUAGAA